UCAAACCUAUUUAUUAUGGCGGCAUUUCAUCUUAUUAAAGGAACCUGUUUUCUAAUCGAUAAUCCACGAUAAGUUUUACUUAAAUUAAAAAUUUAUAUACCGCCAUCUAAAAAACUAAUUUAAUAAUAAUAUUUUUAAAAUUAAUAAAAAGUUAGGUCAAGGUGUAAUCUAUAUUUAAGUAAAUAAUGGGUUACAUUAAAAAAUAUUUAAGGAUAUUUUUAUAAAAAUAAAUUUUGAAAAAGGAUUUAAAAGUAAUAUUGAAAUAAUAUUUCAUUAUG
rnacentral:rRNA from 1 species